rnacentral:rRNA from 1 species
AUCCGGGUUGCGGACAGUGUCUGGUGGGUAGUUUGACUGGGGCGGUCUCCUCCUAAAGAGUAACGGAGGAGCACGAAGGUUGGCUAAUCCUGGUCGGACAUCAGGAGGUUAGUGCAAUGGCAUAAGCCAGCUUGACUGCGAGCGUGACGGCGCGAGCAGGUGCGAAAGCAGGUCAUAGUGAUCCGGUGGUUCUGAAUGGAAGGGCCAUCGCUCAACGGAUAAAAGGUACUCCGGGGAUAACAGGCUGAUACCGCCCAAGAGUUCAUAUCGACGGCGGUGUUUGGCACCUCGAUGUCGGCUCAUCACAUCCUGGGGCUGAAGUAGGUCCCAAGGGUAUGGCUGUUCGCCAUUUAAAGUGGUACGCGAGCUGGGUUUAGAACGUCGUGAGACAGUUCGGUCCCUAUCUGCCGUGGGCGCUGGAGAACUGAGGGGGGCUGCUCCUAGUACGAGAGGACCGGAGUGGACGCAUCACUGGUGUUCGGGUUGUCAUGCCAAUGGCACUGCCCGGUAGCUAAAUGCGGAAGAGAUAAGUGCUGAAAGCAUCUAAGCACGAAACUUGCCCCGAGAUGAGUUCUCCCUGACCCUUUAAGGGUCCUGAAGGAACGUUGAAGACGACGACGUUGAUAGGCCGGGUGUGUAAGCGCAGCGAUGCGUUGAGCUAACCGGUACUAAUGAACCGUGAGGCUUAACCUUACAACGCCGAAGGUGUUU